ACGGGCACCGGCAAAUCCGAGCUGGCGCUGCAGCUGGGCCUGCGGCUGGGCGGCGAGAUCGUGGGCGCCGACUCCAUGCAGGUGUACGAGGGGCUGGACAUCAUCACAAACAAGAUCUCUCCCCAGGAGCAGGCUUUGUGCAGACACCACAUGAUCAGCUUUGUGGAUCCCUUGGUCCCUAACUACACCGUGGUGGACUUCCGGAACAAAGCAGCCACCCUGAUUGAAGAUAUAUUUGCUCGGGAGAAGAUCCCAAUUGUUGUGGGAGGCACCAACUAUUACAUCGAGUCCCUGCUCUGGAAGGUCCUUGUUGAUACCAAGGAGAAGACCAGCCCUUCCCCUGGGCGAGCAGCCGACCGGAAGGUGGAACUGGAGCAGCUGGAUGGCUGUGAACUCCAUUGCCGGCUGAGCCAAGUGGACCCGGAAAUGGCUGCCAAGCUGCAUCCCCAUGACAAGCGCAAAGUGGCCAGGAGCCUGCAAGUAUUUGAAGAAACUGGGAUCCCCCAUAGCGAGUUCCUGCAUCGGCAGCGAGAGGAGGAAGGUGGGGGCCCAUUGGGGGGGCCCCUGAAGUACCCAAACUCCUGUAUCCUGUGGCUUUAUGCAGACCAGGCAGCUCUAGAUGAGCGGCUGGACAAGCGGGUGGAUGACAUGGUGGCAGCGGGGCUCCUGGAGGAGCUGCGGGACUUCCACCGGCGUUACAACCAGGAGAAGGUGGCUGAGAACUGCCAGGAUUAUCAGCAUGGCAUUUUCCAGUCGAUUGGCUUCAAGGAGUUCCACGAGUACCUUAUGACAGAGGGGAAGUGCCCAGAGGACACCAGCGCCUUGCUGCUGGAGAAAGGGAUCCAGGCCCUGAAACUAGUGACGAAGAGAUACGCCCGGAAACAGAACAAGUGGGUCCGAAACCGGUUCUUGAGACUGUCCUCCGCCCUCCUGGCUGGAGAAGGGAGCCUGCUGCUAUUGGUGGCCAGUUGAUGUCCAGCCCAUGGGGGGGCUCCGAGUUCUCCCAAGGGGGGUGAAUUGCGUACAGGUCACGCUCUGAUUCUGCUUCCUGCAGCCCCCCCUCCCUGCAAAGAGCUCUUCUCCACCAUUGUGGUUCUACGGCCAAGGCAGCUCUCUGGAGGGAGGGGGCCGGACCCGAUGGGACGGCUGGAUAAAUAGCAGUGUCUCCGGGCAGAGGCCACGUCCAAGGACAGUUCCGUAACACGGCUCUCCCAGGGCCAUUGAGGGAACCGUUCCUGCGUGAAUUCCCUCCUGCUGAGUCCCAUGGAUGUUCUCUGCCUGGGUGCAAGGCCGCCCGCUCCCCAAAUUACCGGGAUCUGUCCAGCAGCCUCUGCUGUGAGUAAGCUUUGGGUGUGUCCUGUCUUCAGGCUGCCUAGGCACAUCAGGACGUGCUGUUCCUGCUUAGCUCCCAGCCCAUCUGGACCAGGUCUGCCCAAGACCUUGCUGCGCUGGCCUUGAAUGUGGUCAUUCCCCAUCCCACCUGGAGUGGACGUUCCUAAGCUCUCUCCCAGGCCCCCUUCAGUGCACCGCUCCCUGCUUGUCCAGCUGUGACAGGGAGGUCUCCACCCCUCCCAGGAGAAGGUUCCUCAUUGCUGGCUAAAAUCCCAGCAGAACAAAGCCCCACGUGCCACCCGUCCCUCCACACAUCCCCUCCUCCUGUGCUAGCUGUUGCUGGCAGUCGGCUCCCUGGCUGCUCACAAGCCAGCUCGCUCCUGAAAGGGGCCACGGCGGAUCUGCGGGUCGUGUUUACCUCUCCCCAGGAGCCCACACGCGCGCCGGGCUGGAGUGAAAAGCCCCACAGACAGCUGCCCUCCAGAUUAGGAGCUGCAGCCGAUUGGUUGUUAGGGGCCUGCUGUGGACACCAUGAUGGCAGGAAGCCAGUGGGACUUCCCUCGCCCUGGAGCAGGGCCAGGAUCAGCAGCUGGGAGCUGAGCAUUUGUUGAAAGGUGGCUGGUAGGGGCAAGAAAAAGAAAAAGAAACCCAACCAGGCCAAAAGACCGACUUUGAACGGGGUGCAGAGCUUUCCUGGGGGCGAGGUGCGUGGCAUCUGCGUCUCACCUUUCUGUCGAGCAGCAGGUGGGGGACAGGUGUGCCUUUGAUCGGCCUCUGAAGAACCUUGCUUGUGGUUGGCCCAAUAAAAGGCAGCACCUGCUGGAUGCCGCAGCCUUUGAUGGCUUUGUCUGAGUGGCGAGGCGCUUGCUCUGCCGGCUGGCAGGCCCUGGACCCAAUGUGCCCCCAGUAUAUGGUUUGGAGGUGUCUGAUCUCUCCCAGUGGGAUGAGAAUGUGUUGAAACCUGCCC